rnacentral:lncRNA from 1 species
UUCAACUUCUAAUUUUGAGUCAUUCUAGUGAAUUUUUGCACUCUUGGGAUAUUUCGGGAAGAGAGAGCUGCUGAGUGCCAUGUUACAUUAUGGAAGCUUUUUUGCAUUCUUCUGACAGAGGGGAUUGAAGGCUGUCUGCCAUGUUCGUGCUGUGCCAGAGGUACCCAGCUCAGCAAGGAGGUUUGGAUUGCAGUUCUCAGGGAAUUUGGAUAAAAGUAAGAGGAAGUACUCGAACCUCACAAUGUCUGAGAGCAGAUUUUGGCACCAUCUUCCACUUGUGGCCUCGUUCUCAUAAGAUUAAAGCCUUGCAGUCCAGCGGCGUUUGAGUGACCUGUACAACUUGAGGAGCUCUGAGUACACCAGCUUCUGGAUUUUACCCAAAGAAGAGCUCAGAGGAAACCCAGAGAGGUUUUUGUUAUUGUCAUCAAAUGGACUUGAAAGAAAACAAUUCACUGUGUUUUGAGACAAAACAAACACUUCUUAUUUUUCUUCCUUGAAGGUUGUUCAGAAAGGGGUAUGCGUUGAUCCGACUGACUAGAGCUUUCCCUACAUCUUUAGAGAAGCUGCUUUAAGCAUUGAGGGGCCUCUAUUUUUUUUUCUCCCCAUUUAAAAAUCCAUUCUUUGAAGUGUCAGCAGGUGUUUAAAUUGCAGCCUUUCCAUAAGGAGAACCAUCCUUUGCUGGCCUUGAUUUAUCUGUAGGUUAUUUAUUUAUUCCACAUUGGCAAGGCAAAAAUAAAUAGACUAUCUGAUAGUGGGCUGUUGUAGUU